GCGCUUGCCUGAGAUAGAACUCCGCGAGGCAGCGCGCGCUCACGAUUUCGGUCGUUCAGGACUCCGGUCGCUGAAGUGCUUGGAUGACGGGAGCGCUUGGAAUAGACUGGGC
rnacentral:sRNA from 1 species